rnacentral:rRNA from 1 species
CCAUGCAAGUCGAGGGGUAACAGGGGGCUUGCUCCGCUGACGACCGGCGCACGGGUGCGCAACGCGUAUGCAAUCUACCUCUUACUAAGGGAUAGCCCAGAGAAAUUUGGAUUAAUAUCUUAUGUGAUAUUAGACUGGCAUCGGUUUAAUAUUAAAGGUUACGGUAAGAGAUGAGCAUGCGUCUCAUUAGUUAGUUGGUAAGGUAACGGCUUACCAAGACUUCGAUGAGUAGGGGUCCUGAGAGGGAGAUCCCCCACACUGGUACUGAGACACGGACCAGACUCCUACGGGAGGCAGCAGUGAGGAAUAUUGGACAAUGGACGGAAGUCUGAUCCAGCCAUGCCGCGUGUAGGAAGACUGCCCUAUGGGUUGUAAACUACUUUUAUACAGGAAGAAUAAGAUCUACGUGUAGAUUGAUGACGGUACUGUAAGAAUAAGGACCGGCUAACUCCGUGCCAGCAGCCGCGGUAAUACGGAGGGUCCGAGCGUUAUCCGGAAUUAUUGGGUUUAAAGGGUCCGUAGGCGGGCUGUUAAGUCAGAGGUGAAAUGCUGCGGCUCAACCGUAUGCACUGCCUUUGAUACUGGCGGUCUUGAGUUAUAGUGAAGUGGCUAGAAUAAGUAGUGUAGCGGUGAAAUGCAUAGAUAUUACUUAGAAUACCGAUUGCGAAGGCAGGUCACUAACUAUACACUGACGCUGAUGGACGAAAGCGUGGGUAGCGAACAGGAUUAGAUACCCUGGUAGUCCACGCCGUAAACGAUGGAUACUAGCUGUUCGGUUUUCGGACUGAGCGGCCAAGCGAAAGUGAUAAGUAUCCCACCUGGGGAGUACGUUCGCAAGAAUGAAACUCAAAGGAAUUGACGGGGGCCCGCACAAGCGGUGGAGCAUGUGGUUUAAUUCGAUGAUACGCGAGGAACCUUACCAGGGCUUAAAUGUAGAUUGACAGGUUUAGAGAUAGACUU